CCUACGGGAGGCAGCAGUGAGGAAUAUUGGACAAUGGGCGCAAGCCUGAUCCAGCCAUGCCGCGUGCAGGAAGAAGCAUCUAUGGUGUGUAAACUGCUUUUGUACAGGAAGAAACACUCCCUCGUGAGGGAGCUUGACGGUACUGUAAGAAUAAGGACCGGCUAACUCCGUGCCAGCAGCCGCGGUAAUACGGAGGGUCCGAGCGUUAUCCGGAAUCAUUGGGUUUAAAGGGUCCGUAGGCGGUUUAAUAAGUCAGUGGUGAAAUCUGGUCGCUCAACGAUCAAACGGCCAUUGAUACUGUUAGACUUGAAUUAUAAGGAAGUAACUAGAAUAUGUAGUGUAGCGGUGAAAUGCUUAGAUAUUACAUGGAAUACCAAUUGCGAAGGCAGGUUACUACUUAUGGAUUGACGCUGAUGGACGAAAGCGUGGGGAGCGAACAGGAUUAGAUACCCUGGUAGUCCACGCCGUAAACGAUGGAUACUAGCUGUUCGGAGNAUNUNAGUGNGUAGAGAAGAGAGUAAGUAGUACCACCGUCGGGAGGUACGGUUCGUCGAAGAAGUUAGUAAACGUUAACGAAAUAAGAAGUUAGUUACGGCGNGAGACGAGCGACGGACGACGACGAGGGAGGAGGAG
rnacentral:rRNA from 1 species